rnacentral:rRNA from 1 species
AUUGAACGCUGGCGGCAUGCCUUACACAUGCAAGUCGAACGGUAACGGGCCUUCGGGUGCCGACGAGUGGCCCACGGGUGAGUAAUACAUCGGAACGUGCCCGAUCGUGGGGGAUAACGAGGCGAAAGCUUUGCUAAUACCGCAUUCGAUCUACGGAUGAAAGCAGGGGACCGCAAGGCCUUGCGCGGACGGAGCGGCCGAUGGCAGAUUAGGUAGUUGGUGGGAUAAAAGCUUACCAAGCCGACGAUCUGUAGCUGGUCUGAGAGGAUGAUCAGCCACACUGGGACUGAGACACGGCCCAGACUCCUACGGGAGGCAGCAGUGGGGAAUUUUGGACAAUGGGCGCAAGCCUGAUCCAGCCAUGCCGCGUGCAGGAUGAAGGCCUUCGGGUUGUAAACUGCUUUUGUACGGAACGAAAAGCCUUCUUUUAAUACAGGAGGGUCAUGACGGUACCGUAAGAAUAAGCACCGGCUAACUACGUG